rnacentral:rRNA from 1 species
UAGGGAAUCUUCCGCAAUGGGCGAAAGCCUGACGGAGCAACGCCGCGUGAGUGAUGAAGGUCUUCGGAUCGUAAAACUCUUUUAUUAGGGAAGAACAAAUGUGUAAGUAACUAUGCACGUCUUGACGGUACCUAAUCAGAAAGCCACGGCUAACUACGUGCCAGCAGCCGCGGUAAUACGUAGGUGGUAAGCGUUAUCCGGAAUUAUUGGGCGUAAAGCGCGCGUAGGCGGUUUUUCAAGUCUGAUGUGAAAGCCCACGGCUCAACCGUGGAGGGUCAUUGGAAACUGGAAAACUUGAGUGCAGAAGAGGAAAGUGGAAUUCCAUGUGUAGCGGUGAAAUGCGCAGAGAUAUGGAGGAACACCAGUGGCGAAGGCGACUUUAUGGUCUGUAACUGACGCUGAUGUGCGAAAGCGUGGGGAUCAAACAGG